AGCGAACGUUUGCGGCGGGCCUAACACAUGCAAGUCGAACGCACUAGCAAUAGUGAGUGGCGCACGGGUGCGUAACACGUGGGUAAUCAACCCUUCAGCUUGGGAUAACGACUUGAAAGGGUCGCUAAUACCGGAUACGGCGAGAGAGGCUUCGGCAUUUCUCGAGAAAGCCUCGCAAGGGGCACUGAAGGACGAGCCUGCGGCCCAUCAGCUAGUUGGUGAGGUAAGAGCUCACCAAGGCGAAGACGGGUAGCUGGUCUGAGAGGAUGAUCAGCCACACUGGAACUGAGACACGGUCCAGACUCCUACGGGAGGCAGCAGUGGGGAAUAUUGCGCAAUGGGCGAAAGCCUGACGCAGCCACGCCGCGUGAGCGAUGAAGGCCUGGUCGUAAGCUCUGUGGGGAGAGACGAAG
rnacentral:rRNA from 1 species